CGGCCAUAAAUAUACUUUUAAUGAGUAAAUAGGUUGAAUUAAAAAUCACAAAACUCCUCACAAAGAAAAUUGCAGGCCCAGAUGUUUCCACAGAUAAAUUCCACCAAGCUUUUAAAGAAGAAUUAACACCAGUCAUUCAAAAAUUCUUCUUAAAAAUAGAAGAGUAGCCAAAACUGUCCAAGUUAUUUUCUGAGGCUAUUACUCUGAUAUAAUAACCCAAUAAAUACAUCAAAAAAUAAAGAAAAUUACAGAUAAAUAUCCCUUAUGCAUAUGAACAAAACAUCUCAGAAAAUACUAGCAAAUUUAAUCCCACAACAUAUAAAAACCAUUACACAUCAUGAUCAAGUGGGAUUUAUCCCAAGAAUACAAGGUUGGUUUAACACAGGAAAAUUAAUCAAAUCCAUGGAAUGCCCUAUAUUAAUAAAAAACAAAACACAAGAUAAAAUUUUCAAUGGAUGUAGAAAAAGCAUUGCACAAAAUCUAAUACCAUCUAAUGCCCCAACUCUAAACAAAGUAGAAAUAGAAGAGAAUACCCUCAACUUAAUAAAGCCCAUCUAUGAAAAAAAAUAAAACAAAAAUAACAUCAUACUUACUGGUGAAAAACUAGUGCUUUCCCCUUAAAUCAGUAACAAGACAAAUAUGUAUGCUCCUACCACUUCUAUUUUACAUUAUACUGGAGAGUCCAGCAAGAGCAUUUCAGUUACAUAAAAAGAUAAAUGGCAUCUAGGUUGGAAAGAAAAAAGUAAAUCUAUCUCUAUUAACAGAUGACAUGAACUUGAAUCUUAAAAAUCCCGAGGAAUACACACACACACACACACACACACACACACACACACACACAUGAUUAGAAAUAACAAGUGAAUUCAGCAAGCCUACAGGGUAUAAGAUCAAUAUACAAAAAAUCAUUGUAUUUAUAUAUAUAAUCAAUGAACAAUUGAAAAAGCAAAUUAAAACAAUUUUAUUUAUAAUAGCAUCAGAUAAAAAUACUUAAGAGUUAAUUUAACCAAAAUGUACAAAACAAAACAUUGCUGAGAAAAAGUAAAGAAGGCCUAAAUAACUAGAAAGACAGCCUGUGAGCAUGGAUUAGAAGACUUAAUAUUGUUAAGAGGGCAAUACCCUCCAACUCCCAAGGGAUCUACAGAUUCAAUACAAUCACUAUCAAAAUCUCAAAAUAUCAAAAUCUCAAUAUGCAGAAAUGGAAAAACUGAUCCUAAGAUACACGUGGAAUCUCAGGGGACCCUGAAUAACCAAAACCAUCUUGAAAAGUAAAAAUAAAGUAGCAGAGCUUAUAAAUUCCAAUUUCAGAAAUUAUGUGAACACUGUGGCAAUGGCAUAAGGACAGACAUAUAGACCAGUUAAACAGAAAUAAAUGCAUACACAUGUGGUCACUUGAUUUUUGACAAGAAUGCCAAGAUAAUUCAAUGGGGGAAUGAAUAACCUUCUCAACAAAUGGUUCUGGGACAACUGUGUAUCCACAUGCCAGAGAAUGAAGUUGGAUCCCUUCCUCCAGCCAUAUACAAAUACAAACUAAAAAUGUAUCAUAAACCUUAUAUGAAAGAGCUAAAUCUCUAAAACACUUAAAUGGAAACAUAGGUGUAAAUCUUUAUGACCUUAGAUUAAGCAAUGGUUUCUUAGAUAUCACACCAAAAGCACAAGUGACCAAAGAAAAGAUAGAUAUAUGUGAUUUCAUCAAAAUUAAAACUAUUGUGUCUUAGAGAACACUAUACAGAAGGUAAAGAGGUAACUCAUGUAAUGGAAGAAAGUACUUACAAAUCAUAUAUCUGGUAAUGGAGUGGUAUUCAGAAUAUAUAAAGACUUCAUACAAUUCAACAAUAAAAAGACAUAUGACUCAAUUAACAAAUGAGCAAAAAUUUGGAUAGUCAUUUUAUCAAGGAAAGUUACCCUAUGACUCAGUAAUUCCACUCCUAGAGAGAAAUGAAAAUGUAUGUCAACAGAAAACUUGUACAUGAAUGUUCAUAGCAACAUUAUUCAUAGUAGCCAAAAAGUAGGACCAACAACUACAAUAGCAUUACUUUUGAGGCAUCAAAUUUAAUUGUUUCAGUGUUUUAAAGUGGCUUUUAUGAAGUGUCUAUGUCUGAAAGCUUCAUUUUUUUACCUUUCAUAAACCAAUAUCAUCCCAUAUGGAAAAAGUUCUGAUAUGAGCUACAUAAGAAUAUUAUCCCCUCUUGAUACUGGGGACAGGAAAGGAAGAAACAGCACCCUAAAAGACUAUUUUGAGAAUAUUUGUUAAUUGCACUCUUAGCUUGUUUAUUUUUUAACAGUUCAUAUCCAAGAUAAUUUUUAGUUAACAUAGACUAGCAAGAAUUUUAUGUUUUUUACUGAGUCCCACAUUUACAACUGAUGUUUCCCUCCCUAAGCUUAUUUGUUCAUUUAUUCAACAAGUACUAACUGAGAAACUUCCAUGCUCAGUGCGUAUUCUAGUGAUGAUGUAUAGGUAACCAAAACUAACACUGUUCUUGCUUUAUAGAGCAUACACUUUGGCAAGGGAGAUAGACAAUAAUUGGGUAUUUAAAUACAUGAAGGCAUAAAUAAACACUGCAAAGUGAGUGAAUAAAAUCACUACUAGGAGAGUUUGUGACAAAGGAACCUGACUGAAUUCUAGCAUGCCAUGGUUUCUUAGGAAGUCACAAAGGAACCUGAUUUAAUUCUAGCAUGCCAUGGUUUCUUAGGAAAUGACCUUUGAACUGAGAUUGAGAUAAAUACACAUUUGUUAAGUAAAGCAGAGACAGAGUAGGAGUAAGACUGUCCCAGGCUGGUGGCCCCAUCCAAUGAUUAGAAGGAGAUUAAUAGGAGUUUGUGAACAGAGUUGAACUACAUACUUCCCAUUAUUAAGAUAGGAAUUAGCAUCACCAAAUUUCAGAAUAGCUGUCUCCUCAUUGCAGUCAUCAUUCAUCCAACCCUUGUCAGAACAUGGAUGGGAGUAAGAACAGGAAACAACGAUGACAGGAAGGAGCUGGAAGGAGCUUCCUUGCUGGCAUGGAGAUGCAUGGAUGCACCUGGAUUGUUUUGUUUUCAAAUCAUAGACUCAUGAAAAUAUUUUUUUUUCCUCUUUUAAAAAUGGAUAGACUAUGUUUAAAGAAGUUUUAGGUUUACAAAUAACUGAGCGGAAAACACAAAAAAAUUUAAUCUUUUGCAUUUUUCAAAACAAGGAUUAAUUUCACCAUUUCCAUUCAAUGAAAAUAAAGUACCUUUUGCAUAGGUUUUUAAGAAGAACAGAACACAAGGAUGACAGGGAAGAGCCAGAAGGAGAUUCAAAAAGCUACCACAAAAGUGCCACAUCUUUUUCAAGUCAGCUCUAUACAGUUUCAUUUUAAUGUUCAUAUGUUUUCUUCUUGUGACAUUCCAAUGGCAGAAAUGGCAAUAUGUAGAUAGAGGGAAUAGAGUGGUACAAUUGUGAUCAACCGUGGACAUAAAGUAUGGGUUGAACAGUUGUAAGCAAUUGUGGACUUGGGGUAUGAGCUGUGGAAUUGGAAUUAAUCAUGGACGUAGGUAUGGGCUGUGAAAUUAUAGCUACUCAUGGGCCAGUAGUAUGGAGUGGUACAGUUAAAAUAAAUCAUGAGCCUAUAGUAUGGGCUAGGUAUGUAUUUUCAUUAAUUGUGGGCCAAUUGUAUGGCAAUUGUAAUCAAAUAAAAAUGAAGGAAGAAAGGAUUUAACAUUUUAUUCGA